CAGCAGCCGCGGGAAUACGAAGGGGGCUAGCGUUGUUCGGAAUUACUGGGCGUAAAGGGCGCGUAGGCGGCCAUUCAAGUUAGAUGUGAAAGCCCUGGGCUCAACCUUGGAACUGCCUUUGAUACUGGGGAUCUCGAGUUCGGGAGAGGUGAGUGGAACUGCGAGUGUAGAGGUGAAAUUCGUAGAUAUUCGCAAGAACACCAGUGGCGAAGGCGGCUCACUGGCCCGAUACUGACGCUGAGGUGCGAAAGCGUGGGGAGCAAACAGGAUUAGAUACCCGAGUAGUCCCUGUCUCUUAUAC
rnacentral:rRNA from 1 species